GAAGAAAAGAAGAAGAAGAGGAGGAGGAGGAGGAGGAGGAGGAGGAGGAGGGAGGAGGAUAAAUUAGCAAGGUACAGAAAGACGAGGAGGAGGAAGAAGAAGAAGAAGAAGAAGAAGAAGAAGAAGAAGAAGACUAACUAUAUCAUCAACUCAUUAACAAACAACAAAAACAACAACAAGUGGAUAUAAUUACUUAAGGCAGAAAUAAUUAAACAUAUCGUCUAAUUACACCAACAGGUAAGAUUAUAUAAAAAAAAUAACAUAAUCCCAUAACAAACUCGUAAAUAACCCUUAACAAAACUCUAUCUAACCCCACACCAGGUAGAGGUAUACAGGUGUGCUAAUUACAUAGUGUUAGGUAAGAUUAUAUUAGGUUAUUAGAUUAGAUACAGGUAAGAUUAUAUCAAACAAGAACAAAAUCACUUAACAAACUCGUAAAUAACCCUUAACAAAACUCUAUCUAACCCCACACCAGGUAGAGGUAUACAGGUGUGCUAAUUGCAGUCUUAGCUACAGGUAAGAUCGUGAUAUAUCAACAACAAAAUCACUUAACAAACUCGUAAAUAACCCUUAACAAAACUCUAUCUAACCCCACACCAGGUAUAAGUAGACAGGUGUGCUAAUUGCAGUCUUAGCUACAGGUAAGAUCGUAAUAUAUCAACAACAAAAUCACUUAACAAACUCGUAAUUCAUCCUUAACAAAACUCUAUCUAACCCCACACCAGGUAGAGGUAUACAGGUGUGCUAAUUGCAGUCUUAGCUACAGGUAAGAUCGUGAUAUAUCAACAACAAAAUCACAUAACAAACUCGUAAAUAACCCUUAACAAACCUCUAUCUAACCCCACACCAGGUAGAGGUAUACAGGUGUGCUAAUUA